rnacentral:rRNA from 1 species
GGCAGCCGCCGCGGGAACACCGGCGGCCCGAGUGGUGAUCGUGAUUAUUGGGUCUAAAGGGUCCGUAGCCGGUUUGGUCAGUCCUCCGGGAAAUCUGAUAGCUCAACUAUUAGGCUUUCGGGGGAUACUGCCAGACUUGGAACCGGGAGAGGUAAGAGGUACUACAGGGGUAGGAGUGAAAUCUUGUAAUCCCUGUGGGACCACCUGUGGCGAAGGCGUCUUACCAGAACGGGUUCGACGGUGAGGGACGAAAGCUGGGGGCACGAACCGGAUUAGAUACCCGGGUAGUCCCAGCCGUAAACGAUGCUCGCUAGGUGUCAGGCAUGGCGCGACCGUGUCUGGUGCCGCAGGGAAGCCGUGAAGCGAGCCACCUGGGAAGCACGGCCGCAAGGCUGAAACUUAAAGGAAUUGGCGGGGGAGCACAACAACGGGUGGAAGCCUGCGGUUUAAUUGGACUCAACGCCGGACAACUCACCGGGGGCGACAGCAAUAUGUAGGCCAAGCUGAAGACUUUGCCUGAAUCGCUGAGGGGAGGUGCAUGG